GAUGAAGAACGUAGCGAAAUGCGAUAAGUAAUGUGAAUUGCAGAAUUCAGUGAAUCAUCGAAUCUUUGAACGCACAUUGCGCCCGCCAGUAUUCUGGCGGGCAUGCCUGUCCGAGCGUCAUUUCAACCCUCGCGCCCGUCUGGGCUGCGGUGUUGGGGACCGGCCUGCCCCCCCGGGGCGCGCCGCCCCCCAAAUUCAGUGGCGGUCUCGCUGCAGCCUCCCUUGUGUAGUAGCACACCUCGCACCGGAGCGCAGCGCGGCCACGCCGUAAAACCCCCGACCCCCAUGAGUUUGACCUCGGAUCAGGUAGGAAUACCCGCUGAACUUAAGCAUAUCAAUAAGCGGAGGA
rnacentral:misc_RNA from 1 species